rnacentral:rRNA from 1 species
AACGAACGCUGGCGGCAUGCCUAACACAUGCAAGUCGAACGAGAUCUUCGGGUCUAGUGGCGCACGGGUGAGUAACACGUGGGUGAUCUGCCCUGCACUUCGGGAUAAGCCUGGGAAACUGGGUCUAAUACCGGAUAGGACCACUGCCUGCAUGGGUGGUGGUGGAAAGCUUUUGCGGUGUGGGAUGGGCCCGCGGCCUAUCAGCUUGUUGGUGGGGUGAUGGCCUACCAAGGCGACGACGGGUAGCCGGCCUGAGAGGGUGACCGGCCACACUGGGACUGAGAUACGGCCCAGACUCCUACGGGAGGCAGCAGUGGGGAAUAUUGCACAAUGGGCGCAAGCCUGAUGCAGCGACGCCGCGUGAGGGAUGACGGCCUUCGGGUUGUAAACCUCUUUCAGCACCGACGAAGCGCAAGUGACGGUAGGUGCAGAAGAAGGACCGGCCAACUACGUGCCAGCAGCCGCGGUAA